rnacentral:rRNA from 1 species
UACGGGGGGAGCAAGCGUUGUUCGGAUUUACUGGGCGUAAAGGGCGCGUAGGCGGUCAGCACAAGUCAGUUGUGAAAUCUCCGGGCUUAACUCGGAAAGGUCAACUGAUACUGUGCGACUAGAGUGCGGAAGGGGCAACUGGAAUUCCUGGUGUAGCGGUGAAAUGCGCAGAUAUCAGGAGGAACACCGGUGGCGAAGGCGGUUCUCUGGGCAUGACCUGACGCUGAGGAGCGAAAGUGUGGGGAGCGAACAGG